AAGUCCUAGCUUAAUUAAAGCGCCUGGGUUGCAUUCAGGAGAUGUGGGGUAGUGUCCUACGGAUUUUA
rnacentral:tRNA from 1 species